AAACGGAUGAGUGCUAAGUGUUAGGGGGUUUCCGCCCCUUAGUGCUGCAGCUAACGCAUUAAGCACUCCGCCUGGGGAGUACGGUCGCAAGACUGAAACUCAAAGGAAUUGACGGGGGCCCGCACAAGCGGUGGAGCAUGUGGUUUAAUUCGAAGCAACGCGAAGAACCUUACCAGGUCUUGACAUCCUCUGACAACCCUAGAGAUAGGGCUUUCCCUUCGGGGACAGAGUGACAGGUGGUGCAUGGUUGUCGUCAGCUCGUGUCGUGAGAUGUUGGGU
rnacentral:rRNA from 1 species